GUAUCAUUGUUUUCGAACGAUGUCCUUGGAGAAAUAUGCGUCAAUGGAGUCCGUCUUCUUGAGAAGCAUUUUUGAGUGAGAAUGAUUCUCAUGAUGGAUAUGUCUUCAAGGACUUCUUUCAAACAAUGGUAC